ACCAUGGUCCUGAAAUGAGACGGUGUCCCCCAUGGAGAGCACAUGCGGACGCCCACACCAGAGGGCUCACUGCGCCUCACCACAGAUGCACUCCCCUACUGAGUCCUGAGACCUGGGUGCACCCCAUAGAGUAGUACUCAGAUGAGGGCAUGCAAAUCUCCACCAGCUCCACCCUCCUCACGAUUGAAAAGCCGAGCACCGGGACUGGCUCAGUGAAUCCUGUGCCCCACCAUGGACACGCUUUGCUCCACGCUCCUGCUGCUGACCGUCCCGUCCUGGGUCUUGUCCCAGGUCACCUUGAAGGAGUCUGGUCCUGCGCUGGUGAAACCCACACAGACCGUCACGCUGACCUGCACCUUCUCUGGGUUCUCACUUAGCACUAGUGGUAUGGGUGUGGGCUGGAUCCGUCAGCCCCCAGGGAAGGCCCUGGAGUGGCUUGCACACAUUGAUUGGGAUGAUGAUAAAUACUACAGCACAUCUCUGAAGAGCAGGCUCACCAUCUCCAAGGACACCUCCAAGAACCAGGUGGUUCUAACAAUGACCAACAUGGACCCUGUGGACACAGCCACAUAUUACUGUGCACGGAGACCACAGAGACACAGCCCAGGGUGCCUCCUGUACAAGAACCCAGGCUGCUUCUCAGCGAUGCUCCCUCCCCACCUCUACAGAACAGGAAAGAGUGGCUGAGAUGCCAUUUCCUGC